rnacentral:tRNA from 1 species
CGGGAUGUGGCGCAGCUUGGUAGCGUACCUCGUUCGGGACGAGGGGGUCGUGGGUUCAAAUCCCGCCAUCCCGACCA